rnacentral:rRNA from 1 species
GGUCAAGCUACAAAGGGCGCAUGGUGAAUGCCUUGGCAUCAGGAGCCGAUGAAGGACGCGAUAAGCUGCGAUAAGCUUCGGGUAGGCGCACAUAGCCUGAGAUCCGAAGAUCUCCGAAUGAGGAAACUCACAUGGGAAACCCCAUGUAUCAUUAAGUGAAUACAUAGCUUAAUGAAGGUAACCCAGGGAACUGAAACAUCUAAGUACCUGGAGGAAGAGAAAGAAAAAUCGAUUUUCUUAGUAGCGGCGAGCGAAAGGGAAAGAGCCCAAACCGGAAACUUGUUUCCGGGGUUGUGGACAUAGCAUCAAAGUGGAGGCUAUUGUAUCUGAAGAAAAC